UACGUAGGGGGCAAGCGUUGUCCGGAUUUAUUGGGCGUAAAGAGCGUGUAGGCGGCUUCACAGGUCCGCUGUGAAAACUCGAGGCUCAACCUCGAGCUGUCGGUGGAAACCGUGUGGCUAGAGUCCGGAAGAGGAGAGUGGAAUUCCCGGUGUAGCGGUGAAAUGCGCAGAUAUCGGGGAAGAACACCCGUGGCGAAGGCGGCUCUCUGGGACGGUACUGACGCGUGAGACGCGAAAGCGUGGGGAGCGAACAGG
rnacentral:rRNA from 1 species